rnacentral:rRNA from 1 species
UACGUAGGGGGCAAGCGUUGUCCGGAAUCAUUGGGCGUAAAGCGCGUGUAGGCGGCUCGAUAAGUCUGCUGUGAAAGUCCAGGGCUCAACCCUGGGAUGCCGGUGGAUACUGUCGAGCUCGAGUCCGGAAGAGGCGAAUGGAAUUCCUGGUGUAGCGGUGAAAUGCGCAGAUAUCAGGAGGAACACCAAUGGCGAAGGCAGCUCGCUGGGACGGUACUGACGCUGAGACGCGAAAGCGUGGGGAGCAAACAGG